AGUGAACGCUGGCGGUAGGCCUAACACAUGCAAGUCGAACGGCAGCACAGUAAGAGCUUGCUCUUACGGGUGGCGAGUGGCGGACGGGUGAGGAAUACAUCGGAAUCUACUUUUUCGUGGGGGAUAACGUAGGGAAACUUACGCUAAUACCGCAUACGACCUACGGGUGAAAGCAGGGGAUCUUCGGACCUUGCGCGAUUGAAUGAGCCGAUGUCGGAUUAGCUAGUUGGCGGGGUAAAGGCCCACCAAGGCGACGAUCCGUAGCUGGUCUGAGAGGAUGAUCAGCCACACUGGAACUGAGACACGGUCCAGACUCCUACGGGAGGCAGCAGUGGGGAAUAUUAGACAAUGGGCGCAAGCCUGAUCCAGCCAUACCGCGUGGGUGAAGAAGGCCUUCGGGUUGUAAAGCCCUUUUGUUGGGAAAGAAAAACAGCAGGUUAAUACCCCGCUGUUCUGACGGUACCCAAAGAAUAAGCACCGGCUAACUUCGUG
rnacentral:rRNA from 1 species